rnacentral:lncRNA from 1 species
ACCCUUUUGAGUUGCUGGCUCGGGUCUUCUCCUUCCUCUGGCCAAGGCCAGGUGGACACCCAUGUGGAGUGUGAUGGCUCAGGGUGUGGACCCUGGGACCGAACUCUCUGGGCUCAAAUCCUGGCCCUGCCACUUACAGGCUGUGUGACCUAGGGAGAGUUUCUCCACUCUCUCUGUUUCCUUGUCUGCAGAAUGGGGUAGCGGCGGUUCCCACCCCAUAGGGUCAUCGCAAAGGAUGAAGCACGUUGGCACUGGAAGAGUUUAGUGCAGCGCCAGGCAUGGAAUCAGUGGCAUCAGCGUCAGUCUACGAAACCCCAAAAACAUCCUGUGUCCAAGGGCAGCUGAGCCACCCUCCGCUGCUGCCGCCCUGGGCUGCCGGGACCACUGGCUCAUUGGCCGCACAGCUACCUGCUUUCCUCUCUCUGUCUUCCCGACACAGCCCGAGGGUCCCACUCUUUCUGCAGAGAAGGGCAUUUCUUCUGGAACAUGUGUCUCAGCCCCGACUCACCCCCUUCCAGUUUCCAUCCCUCAGUGAGUCAAAAGUGAC